GAUUUUAUUUUUUCUUGAAUAAUCAGUUGAUUUGUUGGCAUUACAUAGAGAUAGCUCUAGAUAAACAUUUCUUGUUCUGGAGAUGUUGAUCAUAAAAUGCUCAUUUUCAUGCAGGAAGAAUUUCCAAGAGAGAAUAAGAAUGGCUCAAUAUUUGUGAAUUUAACCCAUUUUUAAUCAGGAAAACAAACCAAGGAGUAACCGGGAGACUAGUCUCAAGUCUUGAAUGCUUCUCCAUGGAGUAGAGGGACAGAAGACCAACUGAGGCAAAACUACAGUACACCUACACUCAAGCCUACCAAGGAUGAGAAUUCUGAGACUUGCAUUAAAAGGUCUUGCUCGCUGGUGACAGAAUUUCUGGUAUUAUUUUCAAAUCACCUCCUCUGGAUCAGGUUACCAAUCUUCCGGUUUAUAGACAUGUAUCAAGACUUUGUUUCUGUGUUGUUGAGAGUUCCACAAGAUUAUGUGCACAUUAUAGUGUAUUCCAAAAAGG
rnacentral:lncRNA from 1 species